AAUGAACGCUGGCGGCAGGCCUAACACAUGCAAGUCGAGCGAAGUCUUCGGACUUAGCGGCGGACGGGUGAGUAACGCGUGGGAACAUGCCCUUUGGUGCGGAAUAGCCCCGGGAAACUGGGAGUAAUACCGCAUGUGCCCUUCGGGGGAAAGUUUUAUCGCCAAAGGAUUGGCCCGCGUUGGAUUAGGUAGUUGGUGGGGUAAUGGCCUACCAAGCCGACGAUCCAUAGCUGGUUUGAGAGGAUGAUCAGCCACACUGGGACUGAGACACGGCCCAGACUCCUACGGGAGGCAGCAGUGGGGAAUCUUAGACAAUGGGCGCAAGCCUGAUCUAGCCAUGCCGCGUGAUCGAUGAAGGCCUUAGGGUUGUAAAGAUCUUUCAGUGGGGAAGAUAAUGACGGUACCCACAGAAGAAGCCCCGGCUAACUCCGUG
rnacentral:rRNA from 1 species